rnacentral:rRNA from 1 species
AUACGGAGGAUCCGAGCGUUAUCCGGAUUUAUUGGGUUUAAAGGGUGCGUAGGUGGGCCUGUAAGUCAGUGGUGAAAGUUUGCAGCUUAACUGUAAAAUUGCCGUUGAAACUGCCGGUCUUGAGUGCACAUGAGGUAAGCGGAAUGUGUUGUGUAGCGGUGAAAUGCUUAGAUAUGACACAGAACACCGAUUGCGAAGGCAGCUUACAGGGAUGCCACUGACACUGAGGCACGAAAGCGUGGGUAUCAAACAGGAUUAGAUACCCUGGUAGUCCACGCAGUAAACGAUGAAUACUAGUUGUCUGCGAUAUAUUGUAGGUGACACAGCGAAAGCGUUAAGUAUUCCACCUGGGGAGUACGUUCGCAAGAAUGAAACUCAAAUGAAUUGACGGG